rnacentral:lncRNA from 1 species
ACUAGGAACCAUGAGGUUGCGGGUUCGAUCCCUGCCCUUGCUCAGUGGGUUAACGAUCCGGCGUUGCCGUGAGCUGUGGUGUAGGUUGCAGACGCGGCUCGGAUCCCGCGUUGCUGUGGCUCUGGCGUAUUAAGGGAAGGCUUGUGUGACAGCAUCUGUUUUCCAUGUGGGAACAAUGGUCAUUCAAGAAUAGGAGCAGGAGUCUUAGCAACGAGGAUUUGGAGAAAAUAGAGUGCUUUAAGGACCUGGAAUGAAGUUAGUGAUCAUGAAUUGAUAAUGGUACUUACCUGCCCAUAUGUGUGACUUUCUUGGAUUAGUCAACAGUGGCGGAACAAGAGAGAAGGUGGAUGGAUAGUUGGACUCUAUGAGGUUGGAUCCAUCAGGGAGACGGAAGAACACGUGUGUUCAGACUAGUGUUCAGAGAGAAGUUGAAGUGAGAGAUCACAGAUGUGGACAAAAAUGAAGACAUUUAACCAAUCGGUUAAACUUGACAUUGUCUUCCUUUGGGUUCUACUGAUUUAGGAGCAGGCAGUUUACUUUAGAGAGAUCUCAAGAAACAGGAAUAAAGGGGUGGGAGAAUAAAUCAGGAAAUAAGAAAAAACUAAUUAAAAAGCACAUUUUAAGCUGCUUAUCAUUGUAAGCAACUGGGACUGAGUCAUGCUGGAGACCCCUGAGGAGCCCUGUAGAAUGUGCCUUACAGUUGUCUCUCUGCCUGCAGGAAAGGAAGCUGACAUGUUCAUCCACCAACUCCAGUUACCCUUUGGUGGAGGACCGCUUCAAGGGCUUUAAAUCCACCCCCCGCUUCUAGGCUGCCUUUCUAGGGGUGAACAAACUCCCAAGCUUCAGAAAAAUCCCAGAGGCAGAAAACUGAAGAUCGGAGAAGAUUGAGUUUGAGGUGAAAUGCUGACAGUAUUUAAGAGUCCAUAAGGACUGAACACAGCUUCAGCUGAAAGCUGAGCCUAGGGCAUAUGGUACAAGGUAAAAUUAGACCAAGUAAAUGACCUAUGAGGUCAAAGUAAUUGAGCAAAUAACUUGGGAUAAUAGGAGGAGUUAUUUGGCCAUGUGAAAGCUAUGUAUGUCCGCUGAGCUGUUGGUUUAUCAUCAGUAAAUGAGGAUGAGAACAUUCAGUUUGUGGGGUUACUGCUAGAAUUAACAUGAGCCCUUUCUGUGUAAAGCUCUUGGAAGAAAGCCUGGCAUAUAAUAAAGCACACAGAAUAGAAGCUAGUGUAUUAUUACUACUAUCUAUUGAAGUAUCAGUAAUGCUAAUAACUACCUGCAUUGUAGGUAAUAAUAAAUUAGUUCGAACUCUGUAAAAGAGUUUCUAUACUUACCUAAAUGUAAUAUUUUGAAUACCAAGGCAUUGCAAUUUUGUUUGGAAGGACAUUGAAUAUAGUUCCCUGUGCUUUACAGUAGGUCCUUGUUUAUCUGUUUUAUACAUAGUAGUGUGUAUAUUUUAAUCCCCAACUCCUAAUUUAUCCAUGUACACAUCCCUUUUCCUUUUUGGUAGCCAUGUUUGUUUUCUAUGUCUGUAAUCUAUUUCUGUUUUGAAAAUAAGUGCAUUUAUAUCAUUUUUUAAGAUU